CCUGGAGAGGCAUCUGCAGAAACCACGCGAGCCCCGGGGAGGAGAGCCCAUGGUGCACACAUAGGCGCGUGUCGGGGACCCCAAGCCCCUGGGCCCCGGGCACACUCGCAGAACCGCUGCAGGGACGUGGCCCAAGCUGGAAUUGCCCUGCGCACAGGCCAGGACCUUUGGGAGCAGCGACUGUCGAGAUAAGGUCAACGGCGGGCCCGCGGUGACUCAGCUCCCCUUGGCCCCGAGGAAGCUCGGCUGGCCCGGGGGGGCGGGGCCUGCGACGCUCCGCCCCCUGCUCCGGCUCCCGGAAGGCGCCCCACACCACCCCCAGCUUCCCAGAGGCGCCCAGAUUUCCCACGGGUUUUCCUGGUGGUGUCGUAACGAGCCCGGCCCUUUCGGAGCGUCCCAGGGCCCCGAGUCAGCUCCCUGUGACGGGACACAUGAGGAUCUGAGCGCCGCACGCUCCCUGACUGUGUGUGUGCGUGUGGUAAGGCGGUGGCACCACUGAGCUAAAUCCCCGGCUGUCUGACCCGUGUGAUUUUAAGGAGGUCUUUGGCCAGCUAAGGAAUUCCAAGGUGACCAGAAAGCACCAGUGAAAUGAGGAUGAGUGAUGCCCUGAGCAAAGCCGAAGACAGGGACUGGGCACAUCGCGGGCUGGGGACAAGGGGCUGCCUUGUGUGGGAAGGAGAGCUCCCCACCUGCUGAGGCUCUCCCUUGUGUGUGCCAGCCAUUGUACCGUAAGCCUCUGAAAAGCCUCUUCCUUCCCUUCCCUCAGUUCUCAGUUCUUUCGUGGCCCUUGUCGUUUGUUAAAACAAGAGCUCCCUGUCCUGUCUCUUAGGUACAAUAUAAUCUUCUCUUUUUUUUGGUACUGGGGAUUGAACUCCGGUCCUUGCGCUUGCGCAGCAGGUGGCGAAACCACUGAGCUAAAUCCCCAGCCCUGUCCUGUCUCUUAGGAACACUGGCUUUAUCUUUCCCUCACCCCACCCCUAGGCUGUCAGUCUAGGUGAGGGGGUGGAAAUGUAGCUCAGUGGUGGAGUGCAUGCCUAGCAGGCAUGAGGUCCUGGGCCUGAUUCCCAGCACCGCCAAACAAAACUGGAAGGGGAGAGAAAAGGGCAGUUCUGGGUCACACAGGAUGGCCAGGAAGAGACCUUGGUGAAGAUAACAGAUGAUCCUGUGGUGUCUACAAGCAGACCAGACCCCAGCAGACACACUGCACCUGCAGCAGUAAAAGCAAAGGUGGCCAGGCAGCCUUCCUGCCAAGCCUGCAGUGACGCCCUGGGGCCUAGGCCAGACCUCUGGCUCUGCCUUAGAAAAGCUCCUUCCCUCAUCACUGAUGACAGACAGAUGGACAAAGGCAUGGAGCUCUUAGGGCCAUCGGGACACAAUUCCUGGUUCUGAGCUGUGACACUCACUCGCCCUCCUGCCUGACCACAGGGAGAUGGAAGGGGUUUAUCCCCCUCUCUGCGGGGCGUGGAAGGGGCUUGUGGAGACUCAUCCUGCCCUGGAAAGUGUCAUCCACCGCCAGCUCUGACACUGGGGCCUGGGGCUUCUGGCACAGUCUGAGUUUCCAUCCUGAGGUCCACUGAAAGUAACUGGAGUUAGAAAACAAGGGCCACAAGCCAAUGGGAACAUUUAUCCAAGCAGCUUUCAAAGCACCCCAAACUUUAUCAGGAUGACCUGAGUCAUCAGAUACAGAAUUAAAGCAGCAGUGACAUUGUCUUAUUUCAGAUGAAGCAAUAGAAGCCUAGAAAACGAUGCCAUUUCUGGGAAGGAUCCUAUCCAAUUGAGCCUUCUGUUUUACCACAUGCCCUCUGUCCAUCUGUUCACUCAUUCAUUCAGCACCUAGGCCUGGGACAGCCCCCUGGGGGCGGGGCCCUGGGGGUUGUAGCAGUGGGUGAGACAGGCAGAACCCUCCCUCCUGGAAGGCACAGUUCUGGGGGAGGCAAAUGUUAGCAAACAAAUACUGCACACCAAAAACCUUAAGGCAGGGGAGGAAGUAACAGAACAUUGUCCUAGGGAGCAUUUAACUUGGGGUCUCCCCUGGUAAAGCACAGAGGUAAGGGAAGACCACGACCCACACAGGCAAAGAGAAAGGGGCGGAGUAUUCCAGGCAGAGGGAACAGCGUGUGCAAAAACCUGGGGUCUGGAGGGCUAGGAAGGACAAGCGUGUCAAAGGUUACCUUGGGAACCGGAAACCAGAGCUGGGGCUUCACAUUCCUACGUGUACUCUCCCACCAUCCGUAGCCCAGCACCUGCAACCCCUACUGGCCCCACUGCACCCGCAGAACAUCAGAAUUGUGCAAAGAACACAGAGGGUGUGUCCAAGUUGGUUGAAGUCCCUUCAGGCUCUCGUGGCUGGCAGGAGCCUCUAGCUUGUGUUAAGACUGAAGACCAGAUAUCGAGAGAAGUUUUACUGUCAAGAAGGGAAACUGUUUCAGCGCGGAGUGGAGACUCAGAGGUCGGGAGGAGUGGGGUGCACAUGUGAGUGGGAGAUGGG
ensembl:lncRNA